rnacentral:rRNA from 1 species
ACGGAGAAGGCUAUGUUGGCCGGGCGACGGUUGUCCCGGUUUAAGCAUGUAGGCGGAUGUUCCAGGUAAAUCCGGAACGUUAUCAACGCUGAGGUGUGAUGACGAGGCACUACGGUGCUGAAGUGACAAAUGCCCUGCUUCCAGGAAAAGCCUCUAAGCAUCAGGUAACAUCAAAUCGUACCCCAAACCGACACAGGUGGUCAGGUAGAGAAUACCAAGGCGCUUGAGAGAACUCGGGUGAAGGAACUAGGCAAAAUGGUGCCGUAACUUCGGGAGAAGGCACGCUGAUAUGUAGGUGAAGUGGUUUACCCAUGGAGCUGAAAUCAGUCGAAGAUACCAGCUGGCUGCAACUGUUUAUUAAAAACACA